CAGGUGCUGCAUGGCUGUCGUCAGCUCGUGUCGUGAGAUGUUGGGUUAAGUCCCGCAACGAGCGCAACCCUUGUCAUUAGUUGCUACAUUCAGUUGGGCACUCUAAUGAGACUGCCGGUGACAAGCCGGAGGAAGUGGGGAUGACGUCAAGUCCUCAUGGCCCUUAUAGGUGGGGCUACACACGUCAUACAAUGGCUGGUACAAAGGGUUGCCAACCCGCGAGGGGGAGCCAAUCCCAUAAAGCCAGUCGUAGUCCGGAUCGUAGUCUGCAACUCGACUACGUGAAGUCGGAAUCGCUAGUAAUCGUGGAUCAGAAUGUCACGGUGAAUACGUUCCCGGGUCUU
rnacentral:rRNA from 1 species